UAGGGAAUCUUCGGCAAUGGGGGGAACCCUGACCGAGCAACGCCGCGUGAGUGAAGAAGGUUUUCGGAUCGUAAAGCUCUUUUGUUAAGGAAGAACGAGUGUGAGAAUGGAAAGUUCAUACUGUGACGGUACUUAACCAGAAAGGGACGGCUAACUACGUGCCAGCAGCCGCGGUAAUACGUAGGUCCCGAGCGUUGUCCGGAUUUAUUGGGCGUAAAGCGAGCGCAGGCGGUUAGAUAAGUCUGAAGUUAAAGGCAGUGGCUCAACCAUUGUAGGCUUUGGAAACUGUUUAACUUGAGUGCAGAAGGGGAGAGUGGAAUUCCAUGUGUAGCGGUGAAAUGCGUAGAUAUAUGGAGGAACACCGGUGGCGAAAGCGGCUCUCGGGUCUGUAUCUGACGCUGAGGCUCGAAAGCGUGGGGAGCGAACAGG
rnacentral:rRNA from 1 species